rnacentral:rRNA from 1 species
AUUGAACGCUGGCGGCAGGCUUAACACAUGCAAGUCGAGCGGGGAAAGGUAGCUUGCUACCUGACCUAGCGGCGGACGGGUGAGUAAUGCUUAGGAAUCUGCCUAUUAGUGGGGGACAACAUCUCGAAAGGGAUGCUAAUACCGCAUACGUCCUACGGGAGAAAGCAGGGGACCUUCGGGCCUUGCGCUAAUAGAUGAGCCUAAGUCGGAUUAGCUAGUUGGUGGGGUAAAGGCCUACCAAGGCGACGAUCUGUAGCGGGUCUGAGAGGAUUAUCCGCCACACUGGGACUGAGACACGGCCCAGACUCCUACGGGAGGCAGCAGUGGGGAAUAUUGGACAAUGGGGGGAACCCUGAUCCGGCCAUGCCGCGUGUGUGAAGAAGGCCUUUGGGUUGUAAAGCACUUUAAGCGAGGAGGAGGCUACCGAGAUUAAUACUCUUGGAUAGUGGACGUUACUCGCAGAAUAAGCACCGGCUAACUCUGUG